rnacentral:rRNA from 1 species
GUUUCCGUAGGUGAACCUGCGGAAGGAUCAUUGUCGAAACCUGCCCAGCAGAACGACCCGUGAACCCGUCUUUAACACUGGGGGCUGCGAGCCUUGUGCCCGUGUGCCCCCUGCCCGUGCCGUGUUGGGCGUCGGUCGUAYGCUCCCGCGUGCGUCCGCUUCCUUGCGGCCCGCUAACGAACCCCGGCGCGAAUCGCGCCAAGGAAACCUCAAUGAGAGAGCUCGCUCUUGCCGCCCCAGAAAUGGGAUGCGUGUGGGACGUGUGGCCUUCUUUCAAUAUCUAUAACGACUCUCGGCAACGGAUAUCUCGGCUCUCGCAUCGAUGAAGAACGUAGCGAAAUGCGAUACUUGGUGUGAAUUGCAGAAUCCCGUGAACCAUCGAGUCUUUGAACGCAAGUUGCGCCCCAAGCCUUUAGGCCGAGGGCACGUCUGCCUGGGUGUCACGCAUCGUUGCCCCCCUCCCAAGAUCCAUGCGAUCUUGUGGCGUCGGGCGGAGAAUGGCCUCCCGUACGCUCGCGCGCGCGGUUGGCCCAAAUCUGAGUCCUCGGUGACGCUUCCCGCGACGAUCGGUGGCGUUUGAAAUAGAACCUAGUGAUCCUGUCGCGUGGUCGCGUUCUCCCAUCCAUGGUCUCCACGACCCUCGGGAGCCGACGAGAGCCGGCUCGCAUGGCGACCCCAGGUCAG